GAUGAAGAACGUAGCGAAAUGCGAUACGUAAUGUGAAUUGCAGAAUUCAGUGAAUCAUCGAAUCUUUGAACGCAUAUUGCGCUCUCUGGUAUUCCGGAGAGCAUGCUUGUUUGAGUAUCAGUAAACACCUCAACUUCCAUAUCUUUUUUGAAAUGGGAGUUGGACUUGAGUGAUCCCAACGCUUUUCCUCACCGAAAAGUGGCGGGUUACUUGAAAUGCAGGUGCAGCUGGACUUUUCUCUGAGCUAUAAGCAUAUCUAUUUAGUCUGCCUAAAAAACAGAUUAUUACCUUUGCUGCAGCUAACAUAAAGGAGAUUAGUUCUCGUGCUGACUGAUGCAGGAUUCACAAAGACGGCUUCGGCCGACUUUGUAAACUCGAUCUCAAAUCAAGUAAGACUACCCGCUGAACUUAAGCAUAUCAAUAAGCGGAGGA
rnacentral:misc_RNA from 1 species